GACGAACGCUGGCGGCGUGCCUAAUACAUGCAAGUAGAACGAGUUGCGAACGGGUGAGUAACGCGUGGUAACCUGCCUCAUAGCGGGGGAUAACUAUUGGAAACGAUAGCUAAUACCGCAUACUGUGACAUGGACCUGAGUUGUAUUAGCUAGUUGGUGAGGUAACGGCUCACCAAGGCGACGAUACAUAGCCGACCUGAGAGGAUGACCAGCCACACUGGAACGUAGACACGGUCCAGACGCCUACGGGAGGCAGCAGUGGGGAAGAUGGCACAAUGGGCGCAAGCCUGAUGCAGCCAUGCCGCGUGUAUGAAGAAGGCCUUCGGGUUGUAAAGUACUUUCAGCGAGGAGGCGUUACUCGCAGAAGAAGCACCGGCUAACUCCGUGCCAGCCGCCGCGGUAAUAC
rnacentral:rRNA from 1 species